rnacentral:rRNA from 1 species
UAGUGAUAGCUGGUUGUUCAAGAAAAGAGUUUUAGCUCAACCUUAAGUCUCUUUAUUAAACUAAACAAACUUUUAGACUUAAGAGCUAUUCAAAUAAGGCACAGCUUAUUUGAAAUAGGACACAACCUACAACAUAGGGUAAAUGAGAGUGACCUAAAUAAAGUGGGCCUAAAAGCAGCCACCUUCAGAAAAGCGUUAAAGCUUAACUACCCACUCAUAAUGCCUAAAAUCUCACUAACCCUUCAUUACUACUGAACAAUUUUAUACUCAUAUAAAAGCUAUCAUGCUAGAACUAGUAACAAGAAACUGCUUUUCUCCUAAAUGUAAACAUAAACCAAAAUAGACCAUCUAUUGGUUAUUAACGUAAAUGCUAAACUGUAGCAACACUCACUAGAAAAUCCUAUAAACCCCAACGUUAACCUUACACCAGAACAUUACAGGAAAGAUUAAAAGAAAAAGAAGGAACUCGGCAAAUUUUAGCCUCGCCUGUUUACCAAAAACAUCGCCUCUUGACAAACAUAAGAGGUCCAGCCUGCCCAGUGACAAAGUUCAACGGCCGCGGUACCCUAACCGUGCAAAGGUAGCACAAUCACUUGUUCUUUAAAUGAGGACUCGUAUCAACGGCACUACGAGGGCUAUACUGUCUCCUUUUUCUAAUCAGUGAAACUGAUCUCCCCGUGAAGAAGCGGGGAUUGUAAUAUAAGACGAGAAGACCCCAUGGAGCUUUAAACUCACCAUGUACCCCUGCUCCCAUACCCCCAGCACAACAGACCUACAUGUUAGUUUUAGGUUGGGGUGACCACGGAGUAUAACUUAACCUCCAUAGCAAAUGGGCUAAUACCCUUAUCCACGAGACACAACUCUAAGAAUUACUAAACUAAUGCUUACGACCCGAUAUUCGAUCCAUGAACCAAGUUACCCUGGGGAUAACAGCGCAAUCUACUUCAAGAGCCCAUAUCGACAAGUAGGUUUACGACCUCGAUGUUGGAUCAGGGUAUCCCGGUGGUGCAGCCGCUACCAAUGGUUCGUUUGUUCAACGAUUAAAACCCU